UCGUCUCCUGCAGACCCU
rnacentral:misc_RNA from 1 species